rnacentral:rRNA from 1 species
AGGGAAAGAGGGAGGGAGGAAGAAAAAAGGAAAGUGGAAAGGAAGCACAGUAAGAGCUUGCUCUUACGGGUGGCGAGUGGCGGACGGGUGAGGAAUACAUCGGAAUCUACUUUUUCGUGGGGGAUAACGUAGGGAAACUUACGCUAAUACCGCAUACGACCUACGGGUGAAAGCAGGGGAUCUUCGGACCUUGCGCGAUUGAAUGAGCCGAUGUCGGAUUAGCUAGUUGGCGGGGUAAAGGCCCACCAAGGCGACGAUCCGUAGCUGGUCUGAGAGGAUGAUCAGCCACACUGGAACUGAGACACGGUCCAGACUCCUACGGGAGGCAGCAGUGGGGAAUAUUGGACAAUGGGCGCAAGCCUGAUCCAGCCAUACCGCGUGGGUGAAGAAGGCCUUCGGGUUGUAAAGCCCUUUUGUUGGGAAAGAAAAGCAGCAGGUUAAUACCCCGCUGUUCUGACGGUACCCAAAGAAUAAGCACCGGCUAACUUCGUA